GUCUCUGUCGCGCAAUCCGUUAACGUGUUCAGCUGUUAACUGAAAAGUUGGUGGUUCGAGCCCACCAAGGGACG
rnacentral:tRNA from 1 species